rnacentral:rRNA from 1 species
CAGUAGCCGCGGUAAUACGAAGGGGGGUAAGCGUUGUUCGGAUUUAUUGGGCGUAAAGGGUGCGUAGGCGGUUUGGCAAGUCUUGUGUGAAAUCUUCGGGCUCAACCCGAAGCCUGCACGAGAAACUACCGGGCUUGAGUAUUGGAGAGGCGAGUGGAAUUUCCGGUGUAGCGGUGAAAUGCGUAGAUAUCGGAAGGAACACCUGUGGCGAAAGCGGCUCACUGGACAAUAACUGACGCUGAUGCACGAAAGCUAGGGGAGCAAACAGGAUUAGAUACCCGCGUAGUCCCUGUCUCUUAUA